GCCACGACCGGAUCUGCCAGCCAGGCUGUGUGAACCGUACAGGAGUAAUUCUCCCUUCCUCCCGCGGCCCCGGGGCCUUCACGGAGAACGGGACAGGGUUUUCUGCCUGGCCCUUGAGUAAUGAACAGAUCUCACCAGCUCCAGGAGGGACUUCUCAGGAAAGUCUUUGCUGUUCUUGGAUGAUCUGGAUACCGUCUAAGUGGGUGCCUGCUAAGCAUCCGUAAAACGGGGGUGCAAACAGGCCCUCCCUCACAGAGACGUCCGGAGAUUAAAUGAGACUUUGUGGAAAGCUGUUAGCACAGCGCUAAGCAGCCCCCAAGUGGAAUGGACGAUGGCAGAGCAAGAAAGAAGGAAGGCCCCCCGAGGACUCCAAGCAGACGAGCCCCAGGACAAAGAUGACCUUCCCAAGCUCCCGAU